GCUCCCGUGGCUUAGUGGUAUAGCGUUGCAUUGGUAAUGCAGAGGUCCCGAGUUCAAAUCUCGGCGGGGGCU
rnacentral:tRNA from 1 species